ensembl:lncRNA
AUGAUUUGUAAUUGUUGCGCAAAGGACACAAGAAUGCUGCUGCUCAUAAAGUGGGUUGGAGAGGUGAGCUGUCAGAGAUUUCAAGCACAAGCUCCAAGUCUUCAUGCUGCGUCUGAGUCUCUAGGCAGUCAUGCAUUGGAGCAUUUAAGGCAGGAGUCAGACCUUGGAGCCACAGAGGCAUGCACAGUGCAUAAUCUCAGCCUUAAAGGAGCCAGUGUCAACUCAACGAAAUCCUCAAGGCAUUUACCAUUAAAAACAAGAACUCGGCGUUGUGUAAUUGUGUGUGCUGUGACACACUCAUUUCCUUAAUCACUUAGACAUACAUUAAUAAGCUUCAGUGAGUAUACCACAUUCAGUUCCAAGCCUGUGAGUCAGUUGUGUACAGAGCAGUGAAACUUCCUUUUUAAAUGAGGAUGUGAUGUGAUUGUGUUUGGCAAGUGAGUGAGAGAGUUAUUUACCACUUUACAUGGCUAAAGGAUUUGUAAACAUCAUAACUUAAAUAGGCUGUGGGUUUAGUCCUGUGUAUCAAAGGAUAUGUUGAAGGAUAAGAUUAAGUAACAAGUGACUCUGCAGUAAAGCGACUUUACCACAAUUAAUGGGCGUUGUUUGCCAUACAGAUGCAAGUGGAGUUGUAACUUGGCUUAUUAAUAUACAGUUAAACUGAUGUGUGGUUAAUAUAUUGGUUAGAUUACAGUAACUUCAGUGUGGCUCAUCCAAUCAAAUUUUAGGGCCAGAACUAUACUUUUGUAAGCUGUAUCUUAGUCAACUUUCCCCAUGUAAAUUUAGAGCAGGUCUGUUCAGUCGCCGUCCCUAUAUUUGUAACUCUUCUAGGCAACUGUUUCCAGACAUGCUAGUACAGCUCAUACUUGUGUGAUACCUGUUUCUACUUGAAUUGGAAAUAACCAAAAUAUCAAAAACUGCUGGUUACUGCAAGAUUACUUUAAAUCAACAUUUCAAAUCAGGACUGUCUGACAACAACUGCAUCAUUGUAGCUACUUGAUUCGUGAUGACCGCAAAGCCUUUUUCAAAAACGCUUUAUUUAGUUUUCUC